rnacentral:rRNA from 1 species
CUACCUCUGGGUGGGGAAUAACAGUCGGAAACGACUGCUAAUACCGCAUAAUGCAGCGGCUCGACAUCGAGACAGUUGUUAAAGCAUUUAUGCGCCUGGAGAGGAGCUUGCGGCAGAUUAGCUAGUUGGUAAGGUAAUGGCUUACCAAGGCAACGAUCUGUAGCCGACCUGAGAGGGUGGUCGGUCACACUGACACUGAAUAACGGGUCAG